rnacentral:piRNA from 1 species
UCUCCUUUUCUUGUGAGCAACUCGCCAGC